rnacentral:rRNA from 1 species
AUUGAACGCUGGCGGCAGGCCUAGCACAUGCAAGUCGAGCGGGGUUUUCGGACCUAGCGGCGGACGGGUGAGUAAUGCGUAGGAAGCUACCCGAUAGAGGGGGAUACCAGUUGGAAACGACUGUUAAUACCGCAUAAUGUCUACGGACCAAAGUGUGGGACCUUCGGGCCACAUGCUAUCGGAUGCGCCUACGUGGGAUUAGCUAGUUGGUGAGGUAAUGGCUCACCAAGGCGACGAUCCCUAGCUGGUUUGAGAGGAUGAUCAGCCACACUGGAACUGAGACGCGGUCCAGACUCCUACGGGAGGCAGCAGUGGGGAAUAUUGGACAAUGGGCGCAAGCCUGAUCCAGCCAUGCCGCGUGUGUGAAGUAGGCCUUCGGGUUGUAAAGCACUUUCAGUAGGGAGGAAGCGUUGUGUGUUAAUAGUACACAGCGUUGACGUUACCUACAGAAGAAGCACCGGCUAACUCUGUGCCAGCAGCCGCCGUAAAAC